AGAGUUUGAUCCUGGCUCAGGACGAACGCUGGCGGCGUGCCUAAUACAUGCAAGUAGAACGCUGAAGAGAGGAGCUUGCUCUUCUUGGAUGAGUUGCGAACGGGUGAGUAACGCGUAGGUAACCUGCCUUGUAGCGGGGGAUAACUAUUGGAAACGAUAGCUAAUACCGCAUAACAAUGGAUGACACAUGUCAUUUAUUUGAAAGGGGCAAUUGCUCCACUACAAGAUGGACCUGCGUUGUAUUAGCUAGUAGGUGAGGUAAUGGCUCACCUAGGCGACGAUACAUAGCCGACCUGAGAGGGUGAUCGGCCACACUGGGACUGAGACACGGCCCAGACUCCUACGGGAGGCAGCAGUAGGGAAUCUUCGGCAAUGGGGGCAACCCUGACCGAGCAACGCCGCGUGAGUGAAGAAGGUUUUCGGAUCGUAAAGCUCUGUUGUAAGUCAAGAACGGGUGUGAGAGUGGAAAGUUCACACUGUGACGGUAGCUUACCAGAAAGGGACGGCUAACUACGUGCCAGCAGCCGCGGUAAUACGUAGGUCCCGAGCGUUGUCCGGAUUUAUUGGGCGUAAAGCGAGCGCAGGCGGUUUGAUAAGUCUGAAGUUAAAGGCUGUGGCUCAACCAUAGUUCGCUUUGGAAACUGUCAAACUUGAGUGCAGAAGGGGAGAGUGGAAUUCCAUGUGUAGCGGUGAAAUGCGUAGAUAUAUGGAGGAACACCGGUGGCGAAAGCGGCUCUCUGGUCUGUAACUGACGCUGAGGCUCGAAAGCGUGGGGAGCGAACAGGAUUGGAUACCCUGGUAGUCCACGCCGUAAACGAUGAGUGCUAGGUGUUGGAUCCUUUCCGGGAUUCAGUGCCGCAGCUAACGCAUUAAGCACUCCGCCUGGGGAGUACGACCGCAAGGUUGAAACUCAAAGGAAUUGACGGGGGCCCGCACAAGCGGUGGAGCAUGUGGUUUAAUUCGAAGCAACGCGAAGAACCUUACCAGGUCUUGACAUCCCGAUGCUAUUUCUAGAGAUAGAAAGUUACUUCGGUACAUCGGUGACAGGUGGUGCAUGGUUGUCGUCAGCUCGUGUCGUGAGAUGUUGGGUUAAGUCCCGCAACGAGCGCAACCCCUAUUGUUAGUUGCCAUCAUUCAGUUGGGCACUCUAGCGAGACUGCCGGUAAUAAACCGGAGGAAGGUGGGGAUGACGUCAAAUCAUCAUGUCCCUUAUGGCCUGGGCUACACACGUGCUACAAUGGUUGGUACAACGAGUUGCGAGUCGGUGACGGCGAGCUAAUCUCUUAAAGCCAAUCUCAGUUCGGAUUGUAGGCUGCAACUCGCCUACAUGAAGUCGGAAUCGCUAGUAAUCGCGGAUCAGCACGCCGCGGUGAAUACGUUCCCGGGCCUUGUACACACCGCCCGUCACACCACGAGAGUUUGUAACACCCGAAGUCGGUGAGGUAACCUUUUGGAGCCAGCCGCCUAAGGUGGGACAGAUGAUUGGGGUGAAGUCGUAACAAGGUA
rnacentral:rRNA from 1 species